GAUGAACGCUGGCGGCGUGCUUAACACAUGCAAGUCGAACGAGAAGUGAAGACGGAAACCUUCGGGCGGAAGGCUUUAUUUCGAGUGGCGGACGGGUGAGUAACGCGUGGGUAACCUGCCUCAUACAGGGGGAUAACAGUUGGAAACGACUGUUAAUACCGCAUAAGACCACAGCACCGCAUGGUGCGGGGGUAAAAACUCCGGUGGUAUGAGAUGGACCCGCGUUCGAUUAGCCAGUUGGCGGGGUAACGGCCCACCAAAGCGACGAUCGAUAGCCGAUCUGAGAGGAUGACCGGCCACAUUGGAACUGAGACACGGCCCAAACUCCUACGGGAGGCAGCAGUGGGGAAUAGUGCACAAUGGGGGAAACCCUGAUGCAGCGACGCCGCGUGAGUGAAGAAGUAUUUCGGUAUGUAAAGCUCUAUCAGCAGGGAAGAAAAUGACGGUACCUGAGUAAGAAGCCCCGGCUAACUACGUG
rnacentral:rRNA from 1 species